rnacentral:rRNA from 1 species
AUUGAACGCUGGCGGCAGGCCUAACACAUGCAAGUCGAACGAGUGGCGGACGGGUGAGUAAUGUCUGGGAAACUGCCUGAUGGAGGGGGAUAACUACUGGAAACGGUAGCUAAUACCGCAUACCAUCAGAUGUGCCCAGAUGGGAUUAGCUUGUGGGUGGGGUAACGGCUCACCAAGGCGACGAUCCCUAGCUGGUCUGAGAGGAUGACCGGCACCACUGGAACUGUGCAACGGUCCAGACCCCUGCGGGAGGCGUCAGUGGGGAAUAUUGCACAAUGGGCGCAAGCCUGAUGCAGCCAUGCCGCGUGUAUGAAGAAGGCCUUCGGGUUGUAAAGUACUUUCAGCGGGGAGUCGUUACCCGCAGAAGAAGCCCCGGCUAACUCCGUGCCAGCCGCCGCGGUAAUUC